CAGCAGCCACGGGAAUACGUAGGGUGCGAGCGUUAAUCGGAAUUACUGGGCGUAAAGCGUGCGCAGGCGGUUAUAUAAGACAGAUGUGAAAUCCCCGGGCUCAACCUGGGACCUGCAUUUGUGACUGUAUAGCUAGAGUACGGUAGAGGGGGAUGGAAUUCCGCGUGUAGCAGUGAAAUGCGUAGAUACGCGGAGGAACACCGAUGGCGAAGGCAAUCCCCUGGACCUGUACUGACGCUCAUGCACGAAAGCGUGGGGAGCAAACAGGAUUAGAUACCCCAGUAGUCCCUGUCUUUAUACC
rnacentral:rRNA from 1 species